GCGGUACGCGAGCUGGGUUCAGAACGUCGUGAGACAGUUCGGUCCCUAUCCUCCACGCGCGAAAGAGUUUUGAGAGGACCUGUCUCUAGUACGAGAGGACCGAGAUGGACGAACCUCUGGUGUGCCAGUUGUCCUGCCAAGGGCAUGGCUGGUUGGCCACGUUCGGACGAGAUAACCGCUGAAAGCAUCUAAGCGGGAAGCUCACCUCAAGAUGAGAACUCUCACAGGGUUAACCUGGUAAGACCCCCAGAAGAUGACUGGGUUGAUAGGCCGGAUGUGGAAGCGCAGCAAUGCGUGGAGCUGACCGGUACUAAUAGGUCGAGGGCUUGUUUUC
rnacentral:rRNA from 1 species